GACGAACGCUGGCGGCGCGCUUAACACAUGCAAGUCGAGCGAGAACCAGCCCUUCGGGGCUGGGGAGAGCGGCGAACGGGUGAGUAACACGUGGGUAAUCAACCCUCGGUACUGGGAUAGCCCGGGGAAACCCGGAUUAAUACCGGAUGGCCCUUCGAAUCCUCGGAUUUGAAGGAAAAGGUAGAUUCGGCCUCCGACCGAGGCCGAGCCCGCGGCGGGUUAGCUUGUUGGUGGGGUAACGGCCUACCAAGGCGACGAUCCGUAGCUGGUCUGAGAGGACGAUCAGCCACACUGGGACUGAGACACGGCCCAGACUUCUACGGAAGGCAGCAGUGGGGAAUCUUGCGCUAAUGCGGGAAACCGUGACGCAGCGACGCCGCGUGGGGGAAGAAGGCCUUCGGGUUGUAAACCUCUUUCAGGAGGGACGAAGCUACUCGGGUUAAUAGCCCAGAAGGUGACGGUACCUCCAGAAGAAGCCCCGGCUAACUACGUGCCAGCCGCCGCCGUAA
rnacentral:rRNA from 1 species